rnacentral:rRNA from 1 species
UGGGGAAUAUUGGACAAUGGGGGAAACCCUGAUCCAGCAACGCCGCGUGAGUGAUGAAGGCCUUAGGGUUGUAAAGCUCUUUUGCCGGGGACGAUAAUGACGGUACCCGGAGAAUAAGUCCCGGCUAACUUCGUGCCAGCAGCCGCGGUAAUACGAAGGGGACUAGCGUUGUUCGGAAUCACUGGGCGUAAAGCGCACGUAGGCGGAUUUGUAAGUCAGGGGUGAAAUCCCGGGGGCUCAACCUCGGAACUGCCUUUGAUACUGCGGAUCUCGAGUCCGAUAGAGGUGAGUGGAAUUCCUAGUGUAGAGGUGAAAUUCGUAGAUAUUAGGAAGAACACCGGUGGCGAAGGCGGCUCACUGGAUCGGUACUGACGCUGAGGUGCGAAAGCGUGGGGAGCAAACAGGAUUAGAUACCCUUGUAGUCCCUGAGCGGGCUGGCAAGGCGCAU